GGGGCUGUAGCUCAGCUGGGAGAGCGCGUCGUUCGCAACGAUGAGGUCGCGGGUUCAAACCCCGUUAGCUCCACCA
rnacentral:tRNA from 1 species